rnacentral:rRNA from 1 species
CAGUUCAGAUUGUAGGCUGAAACUCGCCUAUAUGAAGUCGGAAUUGCUAGUAAUCGCAGAUCAGCAUGCUGCGGUGAAUACGUUCCCGGGCCUUGUACACACCGCCCGUCACACCAUGAGAGUCGAUAACACCCGAAGCCUGUAGUCUAACCAUAAGGAGGACGCAGUCGAAGGUGGGAUUGAUAAUUAGGGUGAAGUCGUAACAAGGUACC